UAAUCUCAAUUAACUAAUCAGAUUUUGUUGUUAACAAACUCAAUUAAUAGCAAUUAAUUACGUUAAAUCAAUGUUAAUGAAAAAAAGUGAAAAUUUAAAGGAGAUUAGGUUUGAAGUGAACCUUCACGUUUGAAAUUCAACUUCUUCCUCUUCUCUCAAACGAAGAACGGCAGCGAUAUCUCAAACCUCCGGUGAACACAGUGCUCCGUCCGCCUCUAUGAUUCCGUCUUCUCGAUCUCCGAUCUCUCCGUCUUUUCCGAUUCAAUCUUUCCCUGGCUUUUCUCGAUUCAAGCUCCCUCUCAAUUCAAGCUUCAAUUCGUCUCCGAUUUGACUCAACUCUUUCCGCCACAAUCUCAGCUUCAACUCCGAUUUGAUUUACCGGAGAAUGUCUAGCGUCUCUUCCACGGUGCCGAUGAGAAGGAAUCCAACAUUAAAGCCAGAUUGCGUAAUGUUGUUGCAGGUGAAGCAAGAUUGUUAAUGAUGGAGUAGGAGAGUUUACGAUUGAAACGUUGAAGAUGAUGAUGAAAGCAAGGACGAAUCUGAGAUCGAGAUUGUGAAGGAUUUAUGGAAAGUGAAGAUUGAAGGUUAUAUCAAAGGAGCUUGUUAUCGGUUUUCUCAGAGCGUGAGUUGAAGAUUAUGGUGAAUAUGAAGAUUUGUCCGAAUCUGAAAAUUGAGGUGUUGGAAAAUUCAUGAUUGAAUCGAGAGAGAGGAUUGAAAGAUUCAGAGCUUGAAGAAGAUUGAACCUCGUUCUGAGUUUUUUCGAAUUCUGUUUUCGGUUAUGAGGUGAGUUCUCUUCUGAUCUUUUUCUGUUAUGAGAUUCCUUUUUUCUGUUACGUUUUUCUACUCUGAUUUUUCUCGGUGAUGAUUGAAUGAACUGUGGAAGACUCAAUGGAGAUGAUGUUGGAGGUUCUUGGAGAAUUGAAGGAGAAGGUUUAAAGAUUGAUUGGAGCUGCAGGGUUGGUUGAAUGUUCAAAAAUAUGGAAUCGUUCAUUGGCUUUCUGAUGCAGGCUGCUGCAAGUUUUUUUUUCAACAUCAAUUGGGCUUUUCUUUUGUAAUUCAAUUUAAUUGGUAAUGGAUGGACUUGAAUAUUGGAUCAUGGAUGUAUAGAUUUUGUGUGAAUGGACUGUAUUGAAUGGUAUUGUAAUUUUAUGUGGAUUUUUGAA